rnacentral:rRNA from 1 species
UGGGGAAUAUUGGACAAUGGGCGCAAGCCUGAUCCAGCCAUGCCGCGUGUGUGAAGAAGGCCUUCGGGUUGUAAAGCACUUUUGUCCGGAAAGAAAUCCUGUCGGCUAAUACCCGGCGGGGAUGACGGUACCGGAAGAAUAAGCACCGGCUAACUUCGUGCCAGCAGCCGCGGUAAUACGAAGGGUGCAAGCGUUACUCGGAAUUACUGGGCGUAAAGCGUGCGUAGGUGGUUUGUUAAGUCUGAUGUGAAAGCCCUGGGCUCAACCUGGGAACUGCGUUGGAUACUGGCUUACUAGAGUGCGGUAGAGGGUGGCGGAAUUCCCGGUGUAGCAGUGAAAUGCGUAGAUAUCGGGAGGAACAUCCGUGGCGAAGGCGCCACCUGGACAGCACUGACACUGAGGCACGAAAGCGUGGGGAGCAAAACAGGAUU